rnacentral:tRNA from 1 species
NGCAGAGUGGCUUAGUGGAAAGAGCAUCAGCUUGGGAGGCAGAGGUUGUGGGUUCUAAUCCCACCUCUGCCA